CUGGCAGAGAGAUGAGUCACUGAGGAGACAGGAGGAGAUCUGGCAGAGAGAUGAGUCACUGAGGAGACAGGAGGAGAUCUGGCAGAGCGAUGAGUCCCUGAAGAGACAGGGGGAGAUCUGGCAGAGAGACGAGUCCCUGAGGAGACAGGAGGACAUCUGGCAGAGAGAUGAGUCCCUGGGGAGACAGGGGGAGAUCUGGCAGAGAGACGAGUCCCUGGGGAGACAGGACGAGAUCUGGCAGAGAGAUGAGUCCCUGUGGAGACAGGACGAGAUCUGGCAGAGAGAUGAGUCCCUGUGGAGACAGGAGGAGAUCUGGCAGAGAGACGAGUCCCUGGGGAGACAGGGGGAGAUCUGGCAGAGAGAUGAGUCCCUGGGGAGACAGGAGGAGAUCUGGCACAGAGAGGUGGAAGAGUCUCUGUCCUACUGCCGGCCUCGCUCCCGCCCCAAACACGUCGACUUCCUCAGAAUCACACCUCUGGAAGAUGACAUCAUCAGCGACUCACCUUUCUCCCCACUGCAACACAUUGGGGUAGAGGAGAGUGGCUGGCUCAUCCCAGCACCAGGCCCCAGUGAAACAGGCAGAGGGGCUGGGCAGACACUUUCAUUACAGGAAUCAUGAGGAUAAUGCACUUAACUGUUUGACCAAAUCAUGGUCUUAACUGCCCCCCAAAAAAGAAGGUUUGAUUGAGGUGACAAUGUGCUCCGUCUGUGUUUAUAGGCACCCUGUGUGUCAAUUUCCAACAGCCAACCCAAUCCAAAUUGUCCAGCACAUAUGGCAUUUGCCAGAAUUGCCAGAUGGCCAAUCGGCCCCCCGAUCUCAUAUAACUUUACUGAUUCAUUAAAAAACAAAAAAAUUCAGAUAUUGAUAUCACAAAUGUAUGACUUGUAUUGUUAUUUAUUAAAGUUAUUUGUUACAUUA